GGGGAAGUUUAUUCAACAUUCUGACUGUUAAUAGCCUGCCCGGGAAUACUGAGUUUACAUAGAGUGCGUAAAUGUUUCACUCUAGGAUUCUAAUUGAGGAUAUCGCCUCGCUAGUCUUCAGGCACUGGUUACCCUCCUUGUGUGCAUGAUAAAGGCAAGAAAAUAUAUCCGUAAUUUUCAAUAGCUACACAUUGUUAUUCAUCAAUAGAAAACAAUACAGUUUCUUAGUAGCGAGUAAGUGCACAAUAAACACAAAUGAUUCAUGUAUUUGAAUAUUUACCAGUUAUGCGAGGUUUAUAGCUAUUUGAUACUCGCUGGACCAAUAUUAGCAAGCUAACUGGUAGCUUGCUAAUACUGAAUUAUGACAAUUUUAGCCCGUACAUCUCUAAAUAAACAUAUUUCAGAUCACUUGAUAAAGCCUUUAUCGGGACAUGUACCAAAAUGUAGUUGGAAACACCAUUGUUAUAUUUAAAUCUAUCAUUAGCCAGCUGCUACAAGAUAUUCUUACCUGCUAAAAACGUAGCCUCUUUUCUUUAUUGACACAAAACAAAGGGACAAGCCCAUUACUGGCACCUACUGGUUGGAGUCUGAACAAAGUGCCUGCUUUUUUACAUUUCGUGCAAUUAUUUUUAACUAUAUAUGUCAAUCUAUAUUUUGCCAGUGAGUUCUACCACAGUAAUUUAUUGUGCUUCCGUAAGAACAUUCAACAUUUGCGCUUUUAAUGUGCAAACUUUUCUUUAGUAGGCAUGGCAGUAGGCAGGCCGGGCAACAUAACGUUUUAAUCAUUGUGGUAGCUUGCUGUGUAACUUAAUGUUAUGAGAGUUGAGAGAGAUCCAUUCCACAUUGAACCGACAGAAAGAACUGUACUGUAAAUGGACAGUGGAGGAAGAGGACGUGGAAGGGGGAAGUCAGGUAAUCGUGAAGAGGACAAGGAUGCUCGCCUGUCCAAGUCUCUGUCCUUUGCUCUGCACUAUGGAGCCAAUCAGAUGGAACUUCACAUAAAUCCUGUUAUAAAAGCAUCUUAUUUAAUCCCACUGUUCCAUCAUUUCAUAUUGCUGCACUAUAAACAUGAUAUGCACCCCUACAAUCUUUACUCCUCAUUUACACUGAGUGCACAAAAAAGUUUGGAUUGAUUGAUUGAUUUUGUCCGGGGGAAAAAAACAUACAUACCACUAAGAUGACCGGGAUUGCACCGUAAAGUUGGGGAUUUAUUUCCAUUGUGGUCCCUUUUUUUUUUUUUUACAUAAAUACAUAAACAAUUACAUAGAGACGAAAAAAUGCUGAAUCUCCAGAUGAGUAUGAUGUGGUUUUAAGUACAAUUCUUACAAGUUUGUUUGGCUGGUAGCUUAUUCCUUAGAUGUUUGUGGCUGCACACAACCAUCCCGUGUCCCCCCCAAAAACACAACCCUUCCUUGUGUCCCCCCCCCAAAAACACGAAACCCUCCCCUCUGUCCCCCCCAAAAACGCACUACCCUCCCAAAAGAAAAAAGAAAAGGUUGGCAACCCUCCCGUGUUUUGAACCACCCCUCACCCCAGUCCGAUCUGUCCCUAAGCACUGUGAAAUUAUUUGUUGCCCAAAUAAGGAGGGCUUUCUGGGAAGGCUUAAUAGCCUACUCCUAGCUUUACAAGCAUGCUCAAUUAAUGAUUUCUUUAAGUGCUUUAAGUCCUGGGAUAUGCUUAAUCUUGGUCUGGGAAACUUGCCAUAGAGCCUCUCAUAGAUGGGCUUACUUUGAUGUCUGUAUCCUCCCUUUGCUUCAGGCAUGAGGAGAGACUGUGACCUGGCCAUAUUCACUGAUGUCCCCAAAGCCUUGUCUGAUAACUUAAAGUAUCAGAGUGCUGUCAUUGUCUAAAUGCAUAAGUAUUUUUCUUUAUGUGUUUCUGGUUUUUGUGCAGAGGCUAUCCAGUCCUUCUGGCUGGAGAACGGUGUAUUGCUGACACGUGGGGAUACUGAGGGGGAAACUACUUCCCCGCCCUAAAACUAAGACCCACAUAGAGUAUUCUGCCACUGGAGUAGGUGAAGAGGCUUAUCUGCGCUUCGGAGGUAAAAGACAUGGCUGAGUUUGUCAUCAGACAGCUGUCGAUUUCCAGUUCUGUCUAGACUGUUUCCAUGGAAACGGAUACUGUUCGGAACCAGAACCCGAAGACUGAAUGAAGACUAUGAGUCUGAAAACACCAUCAACAACAGCUCUAUUACCAUACAGGCCACAGUACAGGCACAGAGACUGACGGGUGUUCCUGAUAACACUGUCACAUGACUGGAAGACACAAAAGGAUGCUAUCUAUCACAUGGGAAGCAGAAGGCACAAGCUGUGGUUUUGUCAACGGACAGUCUCAACUGUUCCACAGAGAUAGGAAAACACACACACACCGCAUGCCUUCCUGUGGCUUCCUGUGCAUUUAGCAACAUUUCUGGAAACUGCCACCAUACUCGAGGACAUUCAACCAUCAAGCCAAAUGCCUCAUAGGGAAAUUAAAACGGUCAACUUUUUUAUGUAUGUCAAUAAACAUAUUUAAUUCUGGAUUUCAGAAUUGACAAUU